rnacentral:rRNA from 1 species
UACGGGGGGGGCAAGCGUUGUUCGGAAUUACUGGGCGUAAAGGGCGCGUAGGCGGCUUUUCAAGUCGGGCGUGAAAUCUCCGGGCUUAACCUGGAAGGGUCGUUCGAUACUGUCGAGCUAGAGUGUGGAAGAGGCUACUGGAAUUCCGUGUGUAGCGGUGAAAUGCGUAGAUAUCUGGAGGAAUACCGGUGGCGAAGGCGGCAUCCUGGACCGGCAUUGACGCUGAUGAGCGAAAGCUAGGGGAGCAAACGGG